UCCGGUUGAUCCUGCCGGACCCGACUGCUAUCGGAUUGAGAUUUAGCCAUGCGAGUCGAACGUCCCCCUGUUGCGGGGGGCGUGGCGUACGGCUCAGUAACACGUAGUCAACCUGCCCUGGAGACAAGGACAACCCCGGGAAACUGGGAUUAAUCCUUGAUAGGUCAUCUCAUCUGGAAGGAGAGAUGGCUUAAAGGGGUACGCGGGCUUCUUCCGCGAAUCCGCUCCAGGAUGGGACUGCGUCCGAUCAGGCUGUUGGCGGGGUAAUGGCCCACCAAACCUGUAACCGGUACGGGCCUUGAGAGAGGUGGCCCGGAGAUGGACACUGAGAGAAGGGUCCAGGUCCUACGGGGCGCAGCAGGCGCGAAACCUUCGCAAUGCGCGGAAGCGUGACGAGGUUAAUCCGAGUGGCCCCCGCUGAGGGGGUCUUUUGUCAGCUGUAAAUAGGCAGGCGAAUAANGNGAGGGCAAGCCUGGUGUCAGCCGCCGCGGUAAUACCAGCUCCUCGAGUGGUCGGGGCGAUUAUUGGGCCUAAAGCAUCCGUAGCCGGUUCCGUANGUCCUCUGUUAAAUCCAACCGCUCAACGGUUGACCUGCAGAGGAUACCGCGGGACUAGGAGGCGGGAGAGGCGGACGGUACUCCGCGUGUAGGGGUAAAUCCUUUGAUCCGCGGAAGACCACCAGUGGCGAAGNNNCGUCGCCAGAACGCGCUCGACGGUGAG
rnacentral:rRNA from 1 species